rnacentral:rRNA from 1 species
CACGUAGGAUCCGAGCGUUAUCCGAAUUUACUGGGCGUAAAGCGCGUGUAGGCGGUUCGGCAAGUUGGACGUGAAAGCUCCUGGCUCAACUGGGAGAGGUCGUUCAAAACUGCCGGGCUAGAGAGCGACAGAGGGAGGUGGAAUUCCCGGUGUAGUGGUGAAAUGCGUAGAUAUCGGGAGGAGCACCAGUGGCGAAGGCGGCCUCCUGGGUCGUCUCUGACGCUCAGACGCGAAAGCUAGGGGAGCGAACGGG